rnacentral:rRNA from 1 species
UACGUAGGGGGCAAGCGUUGUCCGGAAUCAUUGGGCGUAAAGAGCGCGUAGGCGGUCCGAUAAGUCGGCUGUGAAAGUCAGGGGCUCAACCCUUGAAAGCCGGCCGAUACUGUCGGACUAGAGUUCGGAAGAGGCGAGUGGAAUUCCCGUGUAGCGGUGAAAUGCGCAGAUAUCGGGAGGAACACCAAUGGCGAAGGCAGCUCGCUGGGACGUGACUGACGCUGAGGCGCGAAAGCGUGGGGAGCAAACAGG